rnacentral:rRNA from 1 species
UACGUAGGGGGCAAGCGUUGUCCGGAAUUAUUGGGCGUAAAGCGCGCGCAGGCAGUUCUUUAAGUCUGGUGUCUAAGUGCGGGGCUCAACCCCGUGAUGCACUGGAAACUGGGGAACUUGAGUGCAGAAGAGGAGAGCGGAAUUCCACGUGUAGCGGUGAAAUGCGUAGAGAUGUGGAGGAACACCAGUGGCGAAGGCGGCUCUCUGGUCCAAAACUGACGCUGAGGGGCGAAAGCGUGGGGAGCGAACGGG